UACGGAGGGGGCAAGCGUUGUUCGGAAUUACUGGGCGUAAAGGGCGCGUAGGCGGCCCGCUAAGUCGAACGUGAAAUCCCCGAGCUCAACUCGGGAACUGCGUCCGAUACUGGCGGGCUUGAAUCCGGGAGAGGGAUGCGGAAUUCCAGGUGCAGCGGUGAAAUGCGUAGAUAUCUGGAGGAACACCGGCGGCGAAGGCGGCAUCCUGGACCGGCAUUGACGCUGAGGCGCGAAAGCUAGGGGAGCAAACGGG
rnacentral:rRNA from 1 species